AUGACUUGAAAUUAUAUAAAGAAAUUUUACUACUCAUAUGUAUAAUUAUAAUAAAAAAUGAUGAAAAGGAAGUUUAUAUGAUUAUUCCGACGUUUAUAUCUUUAAUCUUACAAAUAUAUCAUGUGGAAAGAGUAAAAUAUAAAAUAGCAAUGGAAGAUAAUAAAACAUAUACAAAUAAAAAUGUUAGUAGCAAAGGUGCUGACGAUGUUUAUUUAUAUGAUUUUAAUUCUUAUAAUAACACAGACGUUUUGUCGUUACUUAAAACAUUGCUAAUCAUUAUAAAUGUUUUAAUCAAAAGCAAUGUUAGUUUUAUUAAUUUUUAUUCAUGGUUAUUUUUUAAAGAUAUAAAUAUAAGACGAAAGAGAAAGAGAGAGAGAGAUAGAGAUAGAGAUAGAGAUAGAGAGAGAGAGAGAGAUAGAGAUAGAGAUAGAGAUAGAGAUAGAGAUAGAGAUAGAGAGAGAAAGAGAGUUAUGUAUCCGAAAGUUCGUAAAAAUUAUUAUUCUUCUACAGUUGGAAGGAAUGGAGUUACUCCUAACAUAACUACUAUUACUACUCCCAUUGAUAAAAAUAAAAGGAAUGAAUAUUUUAAUUCGUCUUGUGAAAGUAGUAACUAUAAUAGUAGUAGUACUAGUAGUACUUGUAGUUAUACUAGUACUAGUAGUACUAAUAGUAGUAGUGGUAGUAGUAGUAGUAGUAUUAGUGGUAGCAAUAUUAUUAGUGAUAGUAAUAGUGGCAGUAAUAGUGGUAGUAAUAAUAUUAAUUAUACUAGUGAUGAUGAAAGCGGUAAUAGUAACGUCGAUUAUACAUAUACUUACGGAAAAAAAAAAAAAAAAAACAUAAGUCACAAAUUUAUAAAAAAAAAUGUAACUAACAAUAUCAAUAGCGAUUUAUAUAUAAAUAAAACAAAUUUUAUAAACGAAAUGAAAAGAUCAAGAACAUUAGAUGAGUCAACAAUAUAUUAUAAAACGAAUGCGAAUAUAGAAGAAAAGAAUAAUAAUCAAAUAGGUAGUGUACAUACUGUUGAAAACAAUGUUACUACCAUUACUACUGGUAACAUUGCUACUAGUUAUAGUAAUAGAUAUAGUAGUCGUAGUCGUAGUCGUAGUAGUAGUAGUAGUAGCAGUAGCAGUAGUAAUAGUAUUAGUAGUAGUAGAAAUGGUCGGUCUAAUAGUGUUAUUACCGUUUUACUUAAUGCGAAUGAUGAAAACUACACUAAUAAUGAUUAUAAAAAAAAUAAUAUGAUUUCAUCAUUCCAAUUAGAGCAAACUAAGAAUAUGAUAACAGACGAUACGGAGUCGUUUUUUAUUCCAUUUUUAGAUAUUAUAGAACAAUUAUAUAUGCCAGAAAAAGGUAGAAAAAAAUGUAAGACUCGUCACAUGAUUGAAAACCAAACUAUUUUAAAUAAAGAAAAUAAUAAUGAUGAUAAUAAUAAAAAUAAAAAUACCAACGUUAGUAGUAAUAAAAGAGAUAUUAGUGUAUCAAAAAUAAGUAACAAAAGCGUUGUUGAUGAUUGUAUUAAUGAAAAUGAAAAAGAUGACUUUGUUCAUAACAAUAUGAACAAAAAAGAGAAAAAGAAAUUAGAUCAGUUUACUAAUUAUUUAAAUGAUAAGGAUGUAUUAGAUUCAAAAAAUGAAACAUGUGAUUAUCUAUCUUCAAAUAAAAAUGUUACUUCUAAUUUGAUUAGUCAAAAUAAGAGUAAUUAUGUUGUUGAUGGCAGUGUUGAACGUGUAGAUGAUGUUAAAAUGUUAAAAGAGUCGAAAUUGCUUAAUAAUAACAGCUGUUAUGAUGUGCGCAAUACCCACAACAACGCUGUCACCGAGUUUAAAGAGAUAUUAGUGUAUCAAAAAUAA
ensembl:lncRNA